rnacentral:rRNA from 1 species
UACGUAGGGUGCGAGCGUUAAUCGGAAUUACUGGGCGUAAAGCGUGCGCAGGCGGUUUUGUAAGCCAGAUGUGAAAUCCCUGGGCUUAACCUGGGAAUGGCAUUUGGGACUGCAAGGCUGGAGUGCGGCAGAGGAGACUGGAAUUCCUGGUGUAGCAGUGAAAUGCGUAGAUAUCAGGAGGAACACCGAUGGCGAAGGCAGGUCUCUGGGCUGACACUGACGCUCAUGCACGAAAGCGUGGGGAGCAAACAGG